UGAUCCUGGCUCAGGAUGAACGCUGGCGGCAUGCCUAAUACAUGCAAGUCGAACGAGAGGAAGAAAAGCUUGCUUUUCUGAAUCUAGUGGCGAACGGGUGAGUAACACGUAGGUAACCUGCCCAUGUGCCCGGGAUAACUUCUGGAAACGGAUGCUAAAACCGGAUAGGUAGCAGACAAGCAUUUGACUGCUAUUAAAGUGGCUAAGGCCAUGAACAUGGAUGGACCUGCGGUGCAUUAGCUAGUUGGUGAGGUAACGGCCCACCAAGGCGACGAUGCAUAGCCGGCCUGAGAGGGCGGACGGCCACAUUGGGACUGAGACACGGCCCAAACUCCUACGGGAGGCAGCAGUAGGGAAUUUUCGUCAAUGGGGGGAACCCUGAACGAGCAAUGCCGCGUGAGUGAAGAAGGUCUUCGGAUUGUAAAGCUCUGUUGCAAGAGAAAAACGACAUUCAUAGGGAAUGAUGAGUGAGUGAUGGUAUCUUACCAGAAAGUCACGGCUAACUACGUGCCAGCAGCCGCGGUAAUACGUAGGUGGCGAGCGUUAUCCGGAAUGAUUGGGCGUAAAGGGUGCGUAGGUGGCAGAACAAGUCUGGAGUAAAAGGUAUGGGCUCAACCCGUACUGGCUCUGGAAACUGUUCAGCUAGAGAACAGAAGAGGACGGCGGAACUCCAUGUGUAGCGGUG
rnacentral:rRNA from 1 species